CAAAGACAACUGGUUUUAGGGUUUUCUUUCUCAUUGCUGGGGUUCGUUGUGGGGGCGAAGAAGCCUCUCUCUAGCAAAUAGCAACAAUGUUGAUCCCGAAGAAGAACCGCAACGAGGUGUACAAGUACCUCUUUCAAGAGGGGGUGCUCCAUGCCAAGAAAGAUUACAAUCUGGAAAAGCACCCUAACAUCGAUGUUCCAAAUCUUCAUGUGAUAAAGCUCAUGCAGAGCUUCAAAUCAAAGGAAUAUGUUCGUGAGACAUUUGCAUGGAUGCAUUA